rnacentral:rRNA from 1 species
UAGCUUAUGGUUAAAUGCCGUAGAAUCUUAUAGAUUUAGAUAUAUAUCGGUUAUGGAUGAGCUUGCGGGGUAUUAGGUAGUUGGUGUGGUAAUGGCGCACCAAGCCCAAGAUACCUAGCCGGUUUGAGAGAACGAUCGGCCACACUGGGACUGAGACACGGCCCAGACGCUUACGAGCGGCAGCAGUGGGGAAUAUUGGACAAUGGGCGAAAGCCUGAUCCAGUGAUAUCGCUUUGGGGAUGACGGCGACAUACGUUGUAAACCCAAUGAAGUACGUUUAGAUUAUGACCGUACGUAUUUUAGAAGUCCCGG